rnacentral:lncRNA from 1 species
UUCAACACAUGUAAGGAAUGAAAGAUGUGAAUGAUAUGUUUGAAAUCCGUUAGAUGGAUUCAAAUCAUAGAAGGAAGAAAAGGUAUGAAUGGUACGUUUGGAACCGCAGGACGGAUUUAAAAAUAUAAAAAGGAUGAAAUUAGCCCAUAUCAAAAUAUGCCGAUAGUUUGACCUUGGUCGGGUCAAACGAGUCACAUGAGUAAAUAUAAAGUAACUGAAUGAAAGAAUGAUCGUAAUUGGCACGCAAACCUAAAUUCUAAAACGAAAGGAAGAAGUUUCUAACAAGUUAUGUGUUAAAUGUGUUAGAAAUUGACUCUUAGGAGUCAUAAUAAAUGACGGGCUACGACCCGGACAAUAAAUUAAUUAUGAGCAAAAAGGAUAAGUUUUGCUAGCAAUACCGAAUGAUGUAAUGAAUGUUUUUGCAAGUAAGCAUGAAUGGAAAGAAGUACGAACGUGUGCCUCAAUACUUAUACGAUAAUUAAGAAAUGUCAGUUAAGCCUUGAAAAGUCAAAUGAAGGUUGACGAAUUGAGUAACUAGAAUGAAAGAAUUUCGUGUGAGAAAUGAAAUGUGCUAACUAUUAAAUUGUUGAUGAUAAUGUUAGAACCCUUGAUGUGAUGAAACCAAUCAAAUUGGUGGAAGGAUGUGUAUGAUUAGAAGCGCAUUACAUGGAUGAAUGAAAUAUAGCCUGGUACGGCUUGCACUCGUGAAGAAUGUGGACAGAUCUGAUUUACGGAUUGCUGAAGUAUGGAAGGAAAUCGAGGUAAGAAAAAUGCUUUAAUUUAUGUCAGAUAAGUAUGAAUUAGUAAAUUGAAAACGCCCUACAAAAUCCAUGGUGGAAUGAGUACGGUAUAGUACGGAAUGUUUGAUUCCUAAUAGUUGACAUAAGAAGAAAACUAUGUCAUUAAGGAAUGAAUCUCAAAGGUUUUAAGUGAAAAUUUCGAGAAUUGGUUAAACUCUUGUAUAAUGAAUUUGCGUGACACGUGGGCUUAUGCAAAUUAAAUAAUGUAUGAAAUGAGAAUGAAUAAGGUGAAUUGAAGGUAACGUAAAAGUAUGUAUGGUACAAAUAACUAUAGAAAAUGAAUAAUGAUGUUAACUUUUGAGUCAAGCACAGAUGCAUGACUAUGAAAUAGUAACUUCGUUGUGAUAAUAAAACAAAAUCAAAUGUUUUGUAAUAUAUGAAUAGAAUAUGAUCUUAAAGGAUGAGAUCAAGGUAUUAGAAUUGUUAUAAACGAAUCAUAUGAAAGUAAGUAUUAAUAUAAGUUUGGAUGAAUAUGUACAUUGAACUGUUACUAAACGGUCAAGGAAAUGAGAAGGUUACGUGGAAAUAUGGCAUGGAAAGUAUAGACUUGUUAGGAAGAAGUCAAUCGUAUAAAUAAUUACGAAAUGAGAUAGGAUGAUUACGUAUAAUUAUGAUGCAAGUAUGAAGUCAAACAUAGAUGUGUAUGUAUAAAUGAAAAUGAGAAAGGUUUCGGGGACGAAACCUUAUUUAAGGGGGGUAGACUUGUAACACCCCAAAAAUGGGCUUGGUAAUUUAGAACCCGGUUAAGAUAAAGGAAUCGGAAAAGUACCGUUAGUAGUAAAAGUGAACCCAUAAAUAAAAUAACUAGGAAUAAACUAGCCUAGUGGUGUCAUGUAUAUAAGUAAUAAGAUGAUGAGUUUUUAGUCCCGUAUGCAUUCAAAACGAAAUUUGAGGGACCAAAACCGUUAAGAUGGAAAGAUGGGUUUUAUUUAUGAAAGUUAACACACACAAAACACACACUUCGUGUGUGUUCUAGAUCGAGCAGGAGCUUAUGAGCUCAAACCCCUAACUUCCAUCAAUUUCAUCAAAUUGGAAGGCAAGAUGAAGCUUAAAUUCAUAACCGAGCAUGGAUUAAUGAUCACCUUCACAAGGGGAUCGUAAGGUAUGUCUUAAAAGUUAGAUUGGUUAAUUUAAUGUUUAAGGGUGAAACCCAUUGGUUAUGAUGUAAAUUGCGAAAUUGUAUGAAAUUGAGAACGAGUAUGUGUUAGAAUCAUCAUAUAGAACAUGGAUUAUGCAUGGUUUAGGUUAAUUUAAUGUUUAAGGGUGAAACCCAUUGGUUAUGGUGAAGAUGAUGACAUGGGUAAAUCAUCCAUGUCCAAAUUCUUGCUUAUUAUUGAUGUAUUUUGAUAUAUAUGAUGGAUUCUUGUUAAGGGAAUUGAAAGAAAUGUGAUACUAGUAGGUUUGAUGUUUAUGCAUGGAUGAUUCAUGUUGAUUAGAAUGAGGAAUUUGAUGAAUUAGGUAUGAGAUUAGAAAGAUAUGUGUGAAUUAGUUGUACACUAUGCUUAGGAGGUAGUAUACACACCAAAUGUAUGAUGAACUCAUGAGGAAUUUGAGUUUAGAUAACUUGUAAGUGAUUAAUAUAGUAGUUACGAAGUGGGUUUUGAUGAUAUGAUAGAAGUAAUGAUAUGCUUAUGUACAUGAUGUUUAAAAAUCAUAUAUGUGUAUGUAUGUUUAAAGAAAUUGGAUAAGAAAUGAUGGAUUAGCGUGUUAAAAGGUUAAAUGAUAAACUUAAUAUAAGAUCCGUGUGAUGAAAAGGUUAUGAUGAAUGACGAAUAAGCUAACUAUCUUGAGAAUUAUAUAUAAUAGUUGAUGCUUGAUAAGCGACGUGGAAGCUUGGGAAAGAAGCGGGUCUAACGGGACUUAGGUGCACGGGAAGCGUACUCGGAUGCAAGGUAGUACGAAACACGAGGAUCAUCAAGGGAUAGAGAUCUAGGACCGAGUCACUUGAAGGAUUGUACGGGAUUGUCUAAGAAUGUAAUUUGAUAUACAUAAGUUAUGUUUUAUUCUGUAAAUGAGUUAGACUGAUGUAUUCAAUAUAAAAGAGUUGUUUUAAAAAUGAACUUUCAAGUAAGGCAUAAAGUUUAUAAUAAAAGAAAUUUUAUGGCACGAAUU